rnacentral:rRNA from 1 species
GAAGGUCCUUCGGGGUACUCGAGUGGCGAACGGGUGAGUAACACGUGGGUGAUCUGCCCUGCACUUUGGGAUAAGCCUGGGAAACUGGGUCUAAUACCGAAUAGGACCGCGCUCUUCUAUGGGGUGUGGUGGAAAGCUUUUGCGGUGUGGGAUGGGCCCGCGGCCUAUCAGCUUGUUGGUGGGGUAAUGGCCUACCAAGGCGACGACGGGUAGCCGGCCURAGAGGGUGACCGGCCACACUGGGACUGAGAUACGGCCCANACUCCUACGGGAGGCAGCAGUGGGGAAUAUUGCACAAUGGGCGCAAGCCUGAUGCAGCGACGCCGCGUGAGGGAUGACGGCCUUCGGGUUGUAAACCUCYUUCAAUAGGGACGAAGCGCAAGUGACGGUACCUAUAGAAGAAGGACCGGCCAACUACGUGCCAGCAGCCGCGGUAAUACGUAGGGUCCGAGCGUUGUCCGGAAUUACUGGGCGUAAAGAGCUCGUAGGUGGUUUGUCGCGUUGUUCGUGAAAACUCACAGCUUAACUGUGGGCGUGCGGGCGAUACGGGCAGACUAGAGUACUGCAGGGGAGACUGGAAUUCCUGGUGUAGCGGUGGAAUGCGCAGAUAUCAGGAGGAACACCGGUGGCGAAGGCGGGUCUCUGGGCAGUAACUGACGCUGAGGAGCGAAAGCGUGGGGAGCGAACAGGAUUAGAUACCCUGGUAGUCCACGCCGUAAACGGUGGGUACUAGGUGUGGGUUUCCUUCCUUGGGAUCCGUGCCGUAGCUAACGCAUUAAGUACCCCGCCUGGGGAGUACGGCCGCAAGGCUAAAACUCAAAGGAAUUGACGGGGGCCCGCACAAGCGGCGGAGCAUGUGGAUUAAUUCGAUGCAACGCGAAGAACCUUACCUGGGUUUGACAUGCACAGGACGCCAGUAGAGAUAUUGGUUCCCUUGUGGCCUGUGUGCAGGUGGUGCAUGGCUGUCGUCAGCUCGUGUCGUGAGAUGUUGGGUUAAGUCCCGCAACGAGCGCAACCCUUGUCUCAUGUUGCCAGCACGUUAUGGUGGGGACUCGUGAGAGACUGCCGGGGUCAACUCGGAGGAAGGUGGGGAUGACGUCAAGUCAUCAUGCCCCUUAUGUCCAGGGCUUCACACAUGCUACAAUGGCCGGUACAAAGGGCUGCAUGAUGCCGUGAGGUGGAGCGAAUCCUUUCAAAGCANCGGUCUCAGUUCGGAUCGGGGUCUGCAACUCGACCCCGUGAAGUCGGAGUCGCUAGUAAUCGCAGAUCAGCAACGCUGCGGUGAAUACGUUCCCGGGCCUUGUACACACCGCCCGUCACGUCAUGAAAGUCGGUAACACCCGAAGCCGGNGGCCUAACCC